rnacentral:misc_RNA from 1 species
UACGUAGGGGGCAAACGUUGCUCGGAAUUACUGGGCGUAAAGGGUGUGUAGGUGGCUGAGCAAGCCAAGGAUGAAAUCCCGAGGCUCAACCUCGGAAUUGUCCUUGAAACUGCUCAGCUUGAGGAUAGUGGAGGAAAGCGGAAUUCCCGGUGGAGCGGUGAAAUGCGUAGAUAUCGGGAGGAACACCAGAGGCGAAGGCGGUUUUCUAUGCUAUUCCUGACACUGAGACACGAAAGCUAGGGGAGCAAACGGG